rnacentral:lncRNA from 1 species
AACUUUCCAACAUUUUAAAAUUGUUUCAAAUUUUUUAAAAUCCAAUUUAAAAACGGUUGGCAAUACAUGCGGUGACAUAUAAAGUUUAAAAAUACGUGAAAGGAAAGGACUCGGUGUUUAAGGACACGCAUCCGUGCAGCCAAAGUACAGAAGCAUUCGUGCUAAUGCUUCGCUGGGGGGCGGGGGAGGGUAGAGCAGAGUAUAUGAUAGCUGUGUUUUCUUUGUCAAGCUAGCAUGCUGAGAAAUUCUCACUGCGCACCGGGGAAUCCCUGGAGGAAAAGAUUGAGGAGUCUCUCCUUGUGGACGGGAAUGCGUUUCACCAGACAGGGGCUGGAUGCUUUGGGAGGGCCGGGGGUGGGAGGGGGAGGUUCUGCCCCAGGACUGGGGUGUCAGGGGCCGCAGGGGCAGGUGGCUUCCCAGCCUUGAGGAGGAGCCUAGCGGGGGAUGCCCUGGUCUGGGGAACAGGAUGGGGCUCCCCCUGCUCCCAGCACUACCAAGCCAGCAGGGCGUUCGCCUCCCUAAAAUGGAGCCGCUGCCACCACCGUGCAUGGACUGUAGGCAAUAAAUGUGCCUGAGUCACAACUGGAUUUCUGGGUCUGGAAUGUCCCCACUGACCCCGCCAACUGCCCGGAUGGUCGGGCUGGAGGAGGUUGGUCCAGGCAGCGAGUGAGCCCAGAGGGGCAGAGGAGGGAGUGCCGGCUGCAACCCAAGGCCCAUGGCAGGCUGGGCACAGGCCUCUGCCCGCCCUCUGAGCAGCACUGUCAAGCACAGGACCGGGCAACAGGAUGGAGAGGGUGCCCACCACGCGGCCACGAAGUCCCUCAGGCUUUGGGGAGAGAAGUGGGGAAAACCAACAGGAGCCUCCGGCCUCCUGAGAAGGCCUGAGAGCAAAGACGAGGGACCAAGGAGCCUGCGGGUCUCGGGGAGGGAUGGCUCCAGGUCAUGAUGACAGCAAGGAAGGGAGUUUCUGGGGGGAAGCCUAACCUCCCGCCUCUCAGUGGACCCCAGAAACAGCAGCAGCCAGCCUGGGUGAGUGCUGCUGAGAUCGCGGAGGUGUUGGGGGUCUGGUGGGCUGUGAGUUCUGCUCGGGGUGAUGAGGGGAGCGCUGGAGGCCUCAGAGCAAAGGAGUGAUGGGAAAGUGACAAGCCCCUGAAGACUUCUCAAGUGUCCUCAGCUGCCACAUCCAAGGGGGACAUUGCAGUGACACAGGGUCAGUGCCCGACUCUGCAAAUGGCUCCUCAUCCAUGUCCCAAAGUAUCACUUCCCCAGAGCGUCAGGGACAAGACUAAGGGGGAGCACACUAUCAGGAUGGGCCCCUCUCCAGGUCCCCAAAUGCAGGGUUGGCAUCUGAGAAUCCACACCCACCAACAGUGCUCAGCAGGGACCCCAGGCAAGGCCUGCACACUCUCAUGUCAGAGAAAAGCAAGAGCAGAGGCUGGAUUCCUGGGCUUGGGGCACCCGAUACCCUGGAACUCACUCAGCAGAGAGGCCUGGCCCUGUGUCCUGGAAGUGGGGGUGGCCUGGAUGGCCAGGCUGCUCGGCAACCUUCCAGCUAAGUGGCCUGGGGCCAGAUCUCCAAGCUCUGGAAUCUGUCUGCUCAUCAUGAAAAGGGAAUCAAAAAUAAUCCAGGGUUGGGGGGAUCUGAAGAGAUCAGGAGAGCCUCAGCAGGGCCUGUGGAAGGGAUGACACCUUUGGUGUCCUCCGUCCUUUGGUGGCCUUUGUCCCUCCCUCUCCUCUUCUCCCAGAACAUCCCGUGCUCUGGCUCCUAAAAAGACCGGUCACCUCUCAGGUCCCAGGGGGCUGGAUGUUCACAGCUCCUCAGGAAAUGAUGCUAAAUCUUGCACAAGAGAUGCCCACGUGUGCGGGAACCAGACAUCACGCACGGGCUGCUGGGAGAGCCUCUCCAUGUCUUUGGAGACUGAAAAAUCCCUUCCCGUGUCCACAGCUAUCCAGGGUGGUCCCUCUCCUGGCCCCGGCCAGAUCUAGCCAGGGCAUCUAGGCACCACGUUCCACCUCCUACUGGUCUUCCAGUCCCAUCUCCACCCCCACCAGUGACCCGUCCAUCCUCUCAUUUGGCUGGUGCCCAGGGCUGCUCCGGAGUUCUCAGAGAGUUUCACACUGAAUCUUCCCAUGAAAUGUACGCUUCUAGGGUUCAAGAACCACACACACAUUCUAUUUUUAGUCACCAAGGCUCUUGGCACAAGGCCAGAAGACCAGUACGUGAAUAAUAGAGACGCGGGGACUUGAAGGUAAUAAAAUACAUAUUCAUUUACAUUUUUAAUUAGAAAAAAUGACUCGAAUUAGAUCAUGAAAGUUCUGCCUCGUGUACCAAAUUUGAACUUUUUCUAGAAACACUUUUUUUUAUGGACUUUGCAGGGAACCAAGCAAUUAAUGCCUUUUCAUUACAAUUGAGGACUGAAACUGGAAUAUUAAAAUUGCCAUUCAGUGGGAUGUGCACGAAAUGCUAAAAGUCUCCUGGUGAAUAAUUCCUGGUUAUAAUGACACGCUGUACACUUAAAUCUUACUCCUAGACACGAAAAAAGACAGUUAAAUCAACUUUGUCCAUUUAAAUAUCAUUUUAAGAUAUCUAGAACCCAUCUCUUUAUUGCUCAACAACCCCUAGCAAUUUCUUUUGCCCUCAUUUAUUUCUGGUUCCCAAGGGAAUCCUGUCUGAUUUAUUGGAAAUUAGUUCCUACGGCUAGUAAACGCUUUAAACUGUUUUCACAUCCAUCACUCUAAAAUCCGCUCGUGCGCUGAAGUCUGGUCAGAAUGAUCUCCCCCAGAAAUGCUGAGCGUCACCACGGCCCCGGCACGGCCCCUGACGGGCAGGAUGCUCUGGAAGCAGGCACACAGGUGUCCAAGAAACGCAUUCUUCAAACCCCUCACCCC